rnacentral:rRNA from 1 species
GACGAACGCUGGCGGCGUGCCUAAUACAUGCAAGUCGAACGCUUCUUUCCUCCCGAGUGCUUGCACUCAAUUGGAAAGAGGAGUGGCGGACGGGUGAGUAACACGUGGGUAACCUACCCAUCAGAGGGGGAUAACACUUGGAAACAGGUGCUAAUACCGCAUAACAGUUUAUGCCGCAUGGCAUAAGAGUGAAAGGCGCUUUCGGGUGUCGCUGAUGGAUGGACCCGCGGUGCAUUAGCUAGUUGGUGAGGUAACGGCUCACCAAGGCCACGAUGCAUAGCUGACCUGAGAGGGUGAUCGGCCACACUGGGACUGAGACACGGCCCAGACUCCUACGGGAGGCAGCAGUAGGGAAUCUUCGGCAAUGGACGAAAGUCUGACCGAGCAACGCCGCGUGAGUGAAGAAGGUUUUCGGAUCGUAAAACUCUGUUGUUAGAGAAGAACAAGGACGUUAGUAACUGAACGUCCCCUGACGGUAUCUAACCAGAAAGACACGGCUAACUACGUG